UGAGGAAUAUUGGUCAAUGGGCGCGAGCCUGAACCAGCCAAGUCGCGUGAGGGAUGACGGCCCCUACGGGUUGUAAACCUCUUUUGUCGGGGAGCAAAUUCCGCCACGUGUGGCGGAGUCGAGAGUACCCGAGAAAAAGCAUCGGCUAACUCCGUGCCAA
rnacentral:rRNA from 1 species